rnacentral:rRNA from 1 species
GCAGGGAAUAUUGCACAAUGGGCGAAAGCCUGAUGCAGCGACACCGCGUGCGGGAUGAAUGCCUUAGGGUUGUAAACCGCUUUCAGGAGGGAAGAAAAUGACGGUACCUUCAGAAGAAGCUCCGGCUAACUACGUGCCAGCAGCCGCGGUAAUACGUAGGGAGCAAACGUUGUCCGGAUUUAUUGGGCGUAAAGGGCUCGUAGGCGGUUUAACAAGUCGGUCGUGAAAACCUGGGGCUCAACCCCAGGACGCCGGUCGAAACUGUUAUGACUAGAGUCCGGUAGAGAUGAGUGGAAUUCUCGGUGUAGCGGUGAAAUGCGCAGAUAUCGAGAGGAACACCAGUAGCGAAGGCGGCUCAUUGGGCCGGUACUGACGCUGAUGAGCGAAAGCGUGGGGAGCAAACAGG